rnacentral:rRNA from 1 species
ACGUACGCUGGCGGCACGCCUAACACAUGCAAGUCGAACGAAGUAGCAAUACUUAGUGGCAGACGGGUGAGUAACAUGUAGGUAUCUGCCCUUUGGCCUGGAAUAACACGAGGAAACUUGUGCUAAUACCGGAUAAGUCUUUACGGAGAAAGCUUUAUGCACCAUUGGAUGAGCCUGCACUUGAUUAGUUUGUUGGUGGGGUAAUGGCCUACCAAGACUGUGAUCAAUAGCUGAUUUGAGAGGAUGAUCAGCCACAUUGGGACUGAGACACGGCCCAAACUCCUACGGGAGGCAGCAGUGGGGAAUCUUGCACAAUGGAGGAAACUCUGAUGCAGCGAUGCCGCGUGAGUGAAGAAGGCCUUUGGGUUGUAAAGCUCUUUCGUCGGGGAAGAAAAUGACUGUACCCGAAUAAGAAGGUCCGGCUAACUUCGUGCCAGCAGCCGCGGUAAUACGAAGGGACCUAGCGUAGUUCGGAAUUACUGGGCUUAAAGAGUUCGUAGGUGGUUGAAAAAGUUAGUGGUGAAAUCCCAGAGCUUAACUCUGGAACUGCCAUUAAAACUUUUCAGCUAGAGUAUGAUAGAGGAAAGCAGAAUUUCUAGUGUAGAGGUGAAAUUCGUAGAUAUUAGAAAGAAUACCAAUUGCGAAGGCAGCUUUCUGGAUCAUUACUGACACUGAGGAACGAAAGCAUGGGUAGCGAAGAGGAUUAGAUACCCUCGUAGUCCAUGCCGUAAACGAUGUGUGUUAGACGUUGGAAAUUUAUUUUCAGUGUCGCAGGGAAACCGAUAAACACACCGCCUGGGGAGUACGACCGCAAGGUUAAAACUCAAAUGAAUUGACGGGGACCCGCACAAGUAGUGGAGCAUGUGGUUUAAUUCGAAGAUACGCGCAGAACCUUCCCAACACUUGACAUGUUCGUCGCGACUCUAAGAGAUUAGAGUUUUCGGUUCGGCCGGACGAAACACAGGUGCUGCAUGGCUGUCGUCAGCUCGUGUCGUGAGAUGUUGGGUUAAGUCCCGCAACGAGCGCAACCCUCACUUUUAGUUGCCAUCAUUAAGUUGGGCACUCUGAAAGAACUGCCAGUGAUAAGCUGGAGGAAGGUGGGGAUGACGUCAAGUCCUCAUGGCCCUUACGUGUUGGGCUACACACGUGCUACAAUGGUAUCUACAACAGGAAGCAAGACUGCGAAGUUAAGCAAAUCCCUAAAAGAUACCUCAGUUCGGAUUGCACUCUGCAACUCGAGUGCAUGAAGCUGGAAUUACUAGUAAUCGUGGAUCAGCGUGCCACGGUGAAUGCGUUCCCGGGUCUUGUACACACC